CCUUCGAUAGCUCAGCUGGUAGAGCGGAGGACUGUAGAUCCUCAGGUCGCUGGUUGAAAUCCGGCUUGAAGGA
rnacentral:tRNA from 1 species